CUCACCAGGUCAGGACACGGUAAGGAUUGACGGACUGAAGGCUCUUUCUCGAUUCCGUGGAAAGUGGUGCAUGGCCGUUUUUGGUUGGUGGAUCGAUCCGUCUGGUUAAUUCCGUUAACGAACGAGACCUCGGCACUCCGAAUAGCGCGGCGGACGUCGCGGCCUCCGGGCCGUCUUCCGCACGAGCUUCUUAGAGGGGACCGUCCCCCGCCGGGGAAGGAGGUGCGAGGCAACGACAGGUCUGUGAUGCCCUUAGAUGUUCUGGGCCGCACGCGCAUUACACUGACGCGUCCAACGGGUGACUCCCGACCCGAAGGGGCCGGGGAAUCCGCAAGGCGCGUCGUGAUGGGGAUUGAACGUUGCAAUUGUUGUUCACGAACGAGGAAUUCCUAGUAGGCGCGGGUCAUCAACCCGCGCCGAUUACGUCCCUGCCCUUUGUACACACC
rnacentral:rRNA from 1 species